rnacentral:rRNA from 1 species
CCCAGACUCCUACGGGAGGCAGCAGUGGGGGAUAUUGCACAAUGGGGGGAACCCUGAUGCAGCAACGCCGCGUGAGUGAAGAAGUAUUUCGGUAUGUAAAGCUCUAUCAGCAGGGAAGAGAAUGACGGUACCUGACUAAGAAGCCCCGGCUAACUACGUGCCAGCAGCCGCGGUAAUACGUAGGGGGCGAGCGUUAUCCGGAUUUACUGGGUGUAAAGGGAGCGUAGACGGCUGGUCAAGUCUGAAGUGAAAGCCCGGGGCUUAACCCCGGAACGGCUUUGGAAACUGAGCAGCUAGAGUGCUGGAGAGGUAAGCGGAAUUCCUAGUGUAGCGGUGAAAUGCGUAGAUAUUAGGAGGAACACCAGUGGCGAAGGCGGCUUACUGGACAGUAACUGACGUUGAGGCUCGAAAGCGUGGGGAGCAAACAGGAUUAGAUACCCUGGUAUG